rnacentral:rRNA from 1 species
AUACGUAGGGUGCGAGCGUUGUCCGGAAUUACUGGGCGUAAAGAGCUCGUAGGUGGUUUGUCGCGUCGUCUGUGAAAUUCCGGGGCUUAACUCCGGGCGUGCAGGCGAUACGGGCAUAACUUGAGUGCUGUAGGGGAGACUGGAAUUCCUGGUGUAGCGGUGAAAUGCGCAGAUAUCAGGAGGAACACCGAUGGCGAAGGCAGGUCUCUGGGCAGUAACUGACGCUGAGGAGCGAAAGCAUGGGUAGCGAACAGGAUUAGAUACCCUGGUAGUCCAUACCGUAAACGGUGGGCGCUAGGUGUGGGGGUCUUCCACGACUUCUGUGCCGUAGCUAACGCAUUAAGCGCCCCGCCUGGGGAGUACGGCCGCAAGGCUAAA